rnacentral:sRNA from 1 species
CCUUCCCACCCUACUUCCCGGCACUGCACAGAUUCAUCCUCCUGUACCAGGCAAGGCGCGUGGAGGACAAGGCCCAGGGGCGCGAGCUGGUGUUUGCUCUGUGGCAGCAGCUGGGCGCGGUGCUGAAGGACAUCACCCCUGAGGGCCUGGAGAUCCUGCUGCCCUUCGUGCUCUCACUCAUGUCCGAGGAGCACACAGCUGUGUACACGGCCUGGUAUCUGUUUGAGCCUGUUGCCAAGGCACUGGGCCCCAAAAAUGCCAAUAAGUACCUCCUGAAGCCGCUCAUUGGUGCCUACGAGAGCCCCUGCCAGCUACACGGCCGCUUCUACCUGUACACGGACUGCUUUGUGGCCCAGCUGAUGGUGCGGCUGGGCCUGCAGGCAUUUCUCACUCACCUGCUGCCCCAUGUCCUGCAGGUGCUGGCGGGCGCAGAGGCCUCCCAGGAGGAGAGCAAGGACCUGGCAGGGGCUGCUGAGGAGGAGGAGAGCGGGCUGCCCAGGGCCGGGCCUGGCUCCUGUGCUUUUGGGGAGGAGAUUCCCAUGGAUGGGGAGCCUCCUGCCUCCUCGGGCCUGGGGCUCCCAGACUACACGUCCGGCGUCAGCUUCCACGACCAGGCUGACCUCCCUGAGACAGAGGACUUCCAAGCCGGGCUCUAUGUGACUGAGUCUCCCCAGCCCCAGGAGGCUGAGGCUGUGAGCCUGGGCCGGCUGAGUGACAAGAGCAGCACCAGCGAGACCUCCCUGGGUGAGGAGCGGGCUCCAGACGAGGGGGGUGCCCCCGUGGACAAGAGCAGCCUUCGAUCAGGUGACAGCAGCCAGGACUUGAAGCAAAGCGAGGGCUCUGAGGAGGAAGAGGAGGAGGAGGACAGCUGCGUGGUGCUAGAGGAGGAGGAGGGGGAGCAGGAGGAGGUCACCGGGGCACCUGAGCUCACUCUGUCUGACACGGUGCUGUCCAUGGAGACGGUUGUGGCCAGCGGCAGUGGGGGAGAUGGAGAAGAAGAGGAGGAGGCACUGCCUGAGCAGUCAGAAGGCAAAGAACAGAAGAUCCUCCUUGAUACAGCCUGCAAGAUGGUCCGCUGGCUGUCUGCCAAGCUCGGCCCCACAGUGGCCUCUCGCCACGUGGCCCGGAACCUGCUCCGCCUGCUGACGUCUUGUUAUGUUGGACCCACUCGGCAGCAGUUCACAGUGAGCAGUGGCGAGAGCCCACCACUGAGUGCCGGCAACAUCUACCAGAAGAGGCCGGUCCUGGGCGACAUCGUGUCAGGGCCCGUGCUCAGCUGCCUCCUCCACAUCGCCCGCCUGUAUGGGGAGCCUGUCCUCACCUACCAGUACCUGCCCUACAUCAGCUACCUGGUGGCCCCAGGGAGUGCCUCAGGCCCCAGCCGACUGAACAGCCGUAAGGAGGCGGGGCUGCUGGCCGCGGUGACACUGACUCAGAAGAUCAUCGUGUACCUCUCAGACACCACACUCAUGGACAUCCUGCCCCGGAUCAGCCAUGAGGUCCUGCUGCCCGUGCUCAGCUUCCUCACCUCCCUCGUCACGGGGUUCCCAAGUGGGGCCCAGGCUCGGACCAUCCUGUGUGUGAAAACCAUCAGCCUCAUCGCUCUCAUCUGCCUGCGCAUCGGACAGGAGAUGGUCCAGCAGCACCUGAGCGAGCCUGUGGCCACCUUCUUCCAGGUCUUCUCUCAGCUGCAUGAGCUUCGGCAGCAGGAUCUGAAGCUGGACCCUGCGGGCCGUGGUGAGGGCCAGCUGCCACAGGUGGUCUUCUCUGAUGGGCAGCAGCGGUCCGUGGACCCCGCCCUGCUGGACGAGCUGCAGAAGGUGUUCACCCUGGAGAUGGCGUACACAAUCUACGUGCCCUUCUCCUGCCUGUUGGGUGACAUCAUCCGGAAAAUCAUCCCCAACCACGAGCUGGUUGGGGAGCUGGCGGCGCUGUACUUGGAGAGCAUCAGCCCCAGCAGUCGCAACCCUGCCAGCGUGGAACCCACCGUGCCCAGCACCGGCCCCGAGUGGGACCCCCAGGGUGGGGGCUGCCCUCAGGAUGACGGCCACUCAGGGACCUUUGGGAGCGUCCUGGUGGGGAACCGCAUUCAGAUCCCCAAUGACUCUCGGCCUGAGAACCCCGGACCGCUGGGCCCCAUCUCAGGGGUGGGUGGCGGGGGCCUGGGCAGCGGGAGCGACGACAAUGCCCUGAAGCAGGAGCUGCCGCGGAGCGUGCACGGGCUGAGCGGAAACUGGCUGGCGUACUGGCAGUACGAGAUCGGCGUGAGCCAGCAGGAUGCCCACUUUCACUUCCACCAGAUCCGCCUGCAGAGCUUCCCGGGCCACUCGGGGGCCGUCAAGUGCGUGGCACCCCUGAGCGGCGAGGACUUCUUCCUGAGCGGCAGCAAGGAUCGUACUGUGCGCCUCUGGCCGCUGUACAACUACGGCGACGGGACCAGCGAGACGGCCCCACGCCUCGUCUACACCCAGCACCGCAAGAGCGUCUUCUUCGUGGGCCAGCUUGAGGCCCCGCAGCACGUGGUGAGCUGUGACGGGGCUGUGCACGUCUGGGACCCCUUCACAGGGAAGACCCUUCGCACAGUGGAGCCGCUGGACAGCCGGGUGCCCCUGACUGCGGUGGCUGUCAUGCCCGCCCCCCACACCAGCAUCACCAUGGCCAGCUCUGACUCUACCCUGCGCUUUGUGGACUGCAGGAAGCCUGGUCUGCAGGUCAGGGUGGUCCAGUUCCCUGAGCACUCGCCUGGUUCUCUGGGGACCUGGCAAGGAGGAGAGACUCCCCAAAAACAGAAAGCCAGGAUGUCGUUCUGGGGCCCUAGUUAGUUUCUCUUUGGUGCUGGAUCACCCACAGCCACACAUCCUGCGGGGCAGGACUCUGGCCUGUGAUGGGGGUGGGGUUCUGGGCUUUUCAUGCCCCCUGAUGAGGGUCAGAGGCUCAGGCCUUCCUGCCGUGUGGGCUUGGGUGGUGGGCAGGGCCUUGGGGAGUGUGAGAUGGGAAGGUGGUGCCUCAGCUCAGCCGCCCUCUCCCUGCAGCACGAGUUCCGACUGGGCGGUGGGCUGAACCCUGGGCUUGUCCGUGCCCUGGCUGUCAGCCCCAGUGGCCGUAGUGUCGUGGCCGGCUUCUCCUCAGGCUUCAUGGUGCUCCUGGACACCCGCACGGGCCUGGUUCUGCGAGGCUGGCCAGCCCACGAGGGGGACAUUCUGCAGAUCAAGGCGGUGGAGGGCAGCGUCCUGGUCAGCUCCUCCUCUGACCAUUCCUUGACCGUCUGGAAGGAGCUGGAGCAGAAGCCCACCCAUCACUACAAGUCAGCAUCCGACCCCAUCCACACCUUUGACCUGUACGGCAGCGAGGUGGUCACUGGCACCGUGUCCAACAAGAUUGGCGUCUGCUCCCUGCUUGAGCCACCCUCGCAGGCCACCACGAAGCUCAGCUCUGAGAACUUCCGCGGCACGCUCACCAGCCUGGCCUUGCUGCCCACUAAACGCCACCUCCUGCUGGGCUCAGACAACGGGGUUAUCCGCCUCCUGGCAUAGACUGAGGCAGGAGCUGGCCGGGCAAGUGUGGGAAGACAUCUGCAGGCGCGUGUCUGCUCACCCUGUUCCCUGAGCAGCAGCUCCCUCCAGGGAGGCCCUGGGUCCCACGCCCUGGUGCCCACAUGGCCUGCCAACUAGGGCCUCCAACUGGAGUGGGGGAGUCCUGGCCCCUGAAUCACCAGAGCCACCAAGCCUGCCAGAGGGGUCUCAUUCAUGGCUUGGGGACACAGGGCUCCUAGCAAGCAGGAAGUAAGAGCAGGAGGAAGCAUUGCUACCUUCACUUCUCCCCAGCUCUGCCCUCUGGGUCCACAUGAGGACAGGGAAGCUCGGGAAGUGGAAGGGAGACUGGCCCUGCCCAGCCGGUCUCUAGCCCCUCAGCCCCCGCUGGGCACUCUCUGUCCCAUCCCUCUAGGACAGGGAAGCUGGCCUGGUCCAGGGCACUGAUGGUGCUUGGAUUCCAGCCUAAGGAAGGCUGGCCGUGGUCCAGGAGUUAAGGGCUUGGGUCUGGGGUUUAAGUGGCCACCCAUCCAGGCCCUGGCCAGUGUGGGACCGGGAGGGGAAGGAAGAAAGAGGCUAGGAGCAGGGGGGAGAAGGUGCACUUGGCCAGUGGCACCUGCCAGGAGUGAGUCCAUGCGUUGUCUGCCCACCCCUACCACAGUGUUUGUGCCUUGAGCUGAGGGGGUAGCCUCUGGGCCCUGAACCCCUGCUGGGGCUCCACGACCCUGAGAGAAGGGGUGAGAAGAAUCAUCUCUGCACCUCGGGUCUCUGCCAGAGGAAGACUUAAGCAUCCCUGCGGCCUCACAUUCUAGACAGAGAUGAGGUCCAGGGGUUGGCCCCUGCUGCCUCCUCACAAUUUGCAAUAGAUGUAAAUAGGACCAAUAAAUACUUUGGAAGAGCC